CUUUCUAAGAGUUUCUGGUUGUUCUCGAGUGAGUGAUGAGUGUUGUUGUUGUGUAAUUCAAACACUGUAAUAAUUCCUCUCGUAAUGGCAGAUUGACUGGGGUUAAAUCCCUGCAAGUUGGUUGAUGAAAUUUAGUCCCAAGACCAAGAAAUUCUUGAGUCUAUUUAUCUAAUUCUUUGAUGGUUUUAUGUUCUGCCAUUGCUGUGGUUUCUUUCCUGUCUGUUAAUACAAAUCUGUGAAUGAUCAUUGUUUCCUGGGACAUGGGAGAUUGGUAAAAAUCCUAACAGGUCUCUUCUAAUAUCACUUGAACAAAAUCUUGGCACAAAUCAUUAAGAUUAGUACUUUUUAGUACAUAAGCAGUAUUACAUUACGAGUAAUUGUAGUUACCCAGAGCAAGCAAUAUCCAAGAGCUGUGUUAGCGUAAUACUACUACCACAAAAAUUUAAAUCCUCCACCUUUUCAGUAGAAAAUUAACUGAAAUUUGUCAUUCGUAAUGCAAGUUUCUCAUAGAAUAGACGAAAAUGAAGAUAAACUAAGUAAACUUGUUGAUUGAUUGGUUUGAAGAUUUCUUUUGUUAGUGUUCGUCCACAGAAGAUUUCGAGUUUUUAAAUUUUUGGCCGUCGAAGAUCUAUGAUUUUUUAAAGUAGAAAUUUGAUUUCUAGACAAUAUUUGGAUUAUCACAAAUUGUUGAGAAUUUUUCUCUUCCUUCUGUUCCCUCUCUUCUUUUGUUGUGCCGCGCCAUUAGGCCUCAUGGAAGGUGCAAAGAGGGGUCUGAUUGAGGGGUGUGUAGAUAAAGGGUUGUCAUUUACUGGUGUUCUUGAUAUGUCUAGCUUAAUAUCACAACUGUUUUCACUUCUGUUAUUGCAAGAACCUUCCAUUUCUUGAUGUGUCAAUCCAAUGGCCAUAACACUAUCUUCAAUCUUUUCAAAAGCUAACAUGAAAGAUUGAAUAUAAAAUCACUUGUUAUAAUUCCCUUUAAAGUUUAAAUCCUCUAGUAGUGGGCUACUAAAGAGAAGCUUUUUGAGGAUAGAAAAGACCAAAACGGAAGAUUUUUAGAUUUGGAAGAUGAAAAGAAGCAGGAAUCCAAAUGUCCUUGUUAUUAAAUAGUACAUUUGGAUUAAUAUUAGAACUAGUAGAAAUAUCCUCAUUAUCAAAUAGUACAUCAUAGCCAAAAUCAAAGGUUGAAAUCUUUUGUUGUGCCUACAGUGUUGGG
rnacentral:lncRNA from 1 species